CGGUGUUUUAGACUUCUUAGGGGAGCUUGUUUCGUAAUCGACAAUCCACGAUAGACCUAACCUUUUUUUGUAUCCAGUAUGUAUACCGUUGUCGUCAGGUAACUUUUAAAAAUAUAAAAGCUAGCAAAUAAGUUUUUAACUUGUACGUCAAAUCAAGGUGCAACCCAUAAAAAGGAGAGAAUGAGCUACAAUUAAAAGUUAUAAUACGAAUAAAACACAUAAAAAGAAUUUGAAGGACGACUUAAAAGUAAAAAAAUAAUCAUAAAAACUUUUUGAAUCUAGCUCUGAAACGUGCACACACCGCCCGUCAC
rnacentral:rRNA from 1 species